rnacentral:rRNA from 1 species
AGACCGAUAGCGAACAAGUAGAGUGAUCGAAAGAUGAAAAGCACUUUGAAAAGAGAGUUAAACAGCACGUGAAAUUGUUGAAAGGGAAGCGCUUGCAACCAGACUCGGCCUCGGGGUUCAGCCAGCAUUCGUGCUGGUGUACUUCCCCGGGGCCGGGCCAGCGUCGGUUUGGGCGGCCGGUCAAAGGCCCCAGGAAUGUAUCGUCCUCCGGGACGUCUUAUAGCCUGGGGUGCAAUGCGGCCAGCCUGGACCGAGGAACGCGCUUCGGCACGGACGCUGGCGUAAUGGUCGCAAACGACCCGUCUUGAAACACGGACCAAGAC